GUGAGGAAUUUUCCGCAAUGGGCGCAAGCCUGACGGAGCGACGCCGCGUGAGGGAUGAAGGCUUUCGGGUCGUAAACCUCUUUUGUGGGGGAAAAAGGCGCAAGCUUGAUGGUACUCCACGAAUAAGCCCCGGCUAACUACGUGCCAGCAGCCGCGGUAAUACGUAGGGGGCGAGCGUUGUCCGGAAUUACUGGGCGUAAAGGGCGUGUAGGCGGUUGGAAAAGUCUGGUGUGAAAUGCACGAGCUUAACUUGUGCGCUGCGCUGGAAACUUUCUGACUGGAGUUCGGAAGGGGUGACUGGAAUUCCCGGUGUAACGGUGAAAUGUGUAGAUAUCGGGAGGAACACCUGUGGCGAAGGCGGGUCACUGGUCCGACACUGACGCUGAUACGCGAAAGCGUGGGUAGCAAACAGGAUUAGAAACCCCAGUAGUCC
rnacentral:rRNA from 1 species